ACCACUUCCACCUUUCAAUUCACUUGCUCCACAACCUACCUCUCUACCACCUUAUUCACCUGUUCCAAACCCACCUCAUGAUGUUUUUAGACCACCACCAAGUCCUAAAACCAUUGUUACAAUGUCGCCGCCGCCACCUCCAAGCCCAUCAAAACAUGUUCCAAGCCCACCUAAAAGUGUUAUAGGCCCACCUCAAGUAUACUUGCCACCUAUUGUUUAUCCACCACCACCUUCAACUCAUAAGAAGCCACCACAAUAUGCUAUUUGGUGUGUGGCAAAGCCUACAGUUCCUGAUCCUAUAAUUCAAGUGGCUAUGGAUUAUGCCUGUGGGUCUGGGGCUGACUGUAAAUCAGUUCAGCCUAAUGGGAUAUGCUUUCAGCCCAACACAGUGUUGGCACAUGCUUCUUAUGCAUUUAAUAGCUAUUGGCAGAACACUAAGAUUGGUGGGGGGACUUGUGAUUUUGGUGGUACUGCUAUGCUUGUCACUGUUGAUCCAAGUAAGUUUGCACUACGUACCAUAUUUGAUUACCUUUGUUAAAGAGAUUAAUUUUCAUAUAUUUCAUUUUUUUUUGUAAGUAAUUUUUCCAUGUAUUUCAUGUUCUACACUGUUAGCACAUUUACAUGUUGAUCUAAUGAUAAAAAAAAAAAAAAAAUUUUGAAUCGGCAAAAUAUUAUAUGUAUGGACCGUAAAAGUUGAUUAUGAUAAAAUUUAAACAGUUGAUUAGGAUAAAUAAUUUAAUUUUUUGGUACAAAUAAUAAAAUAAAUUUUAAUGAAAUUAUAUGACAAAAUUAACACUUCACAUGUUUCAUAUAUAUCGAGAUUCUUUUUUUGUUACAAUGAGAUCCUUUUAUUUAGCUGUUAGUUAAGUCAUUUCACAUCACAUCACAUACUAUAUAUAUCCACACAACAGGCAUAUGCCACUUGAUUUCUUUUAAAUUGGAAUCUAUCCGGGUAGAGAAAACAUGAAUUCAUGACAUCGGUAGCCGGCGUCUGAUUAAAAAUAAAGGUUUUUUUUAAAUUACCUUUAAAGAAUGGUGGGUAAUUUAUCCACCAACCAAUGAAAAUGAGCAAUUUAUUUGUGGAGUCAAGAUAGUUCAUGAAUAUGUGUUUAUGUGGCUAAUGUGUAUUGGUUGGGGUAAAUUACCCAUCAUUCUUUCAUGGGUAGCCUAGUUGCCACCAAAAAUAAAUGGUUCAAAUAAAUAUAUAUUUUAAUUUAUAAUUUAAAAAAAUAUCAAAUUUAAAUAUGAAUGGUUUAAUCUUGAUCAAACAACUAUUGAUGUGCUAUUGUGUGAUGUGUGCUUGAUCCCCUUUCUUCUUUUGAGGUGCAUUCUUCAUUGUCACACUCGGUGGUAUUAGAUUCGCGCACAGUCACUUAAAGCCCACAUUCACCUAUUCAAAACGUUGUUGACUUAUAUGGAUCAAGAUCUAAAGGAAUUUUAAGCUGGUUUUUAAGAUAAAAAACAAAAAUCAAACCUUAAAACCUGCAUUGUUCGAUCUAGAGUCAACGAUCACCGACAUGGUGAAAGUGAAUUUUUGUAACUACAUGGAAUGCAUAUUUCGUAGUCUUUUCAAUUUAGAACUAUGGAUUAUUGCUUCAGACUAACAUUUCCCUCAAAUCCUCGAUUUAUUUGGCAGGUUAUGACAAGUGCAGCUUCAAGUCGACUUAGCUCAUUGCUUGCUAUAAUACAUAGCAUUUGGAGACUUACCAAAUAUUGAAAACUUCUUGUUCCAAUGUAAUUUUUUAUGCAACGAUAAAUUCCCUUACUUAAUUAGAUACAUUAUUUGGAGUUACCUUGAUCAUAGUAUAUUCCGCCCUUGCUUAAUUUUGUGUAGUUCUAUAUAUUUCUAAAAUGGUAGGUUUAAUAUAUAUAUUCAUGACCAUAAUUUGAUAUUUAGAGAUGUAUGUAGCUCUAUUACGUUUCUGGUUCUUUAGUUUAAAACUUAGAUAAGCACCCAUCUUUUGUGUAUUACUAUCAGCGUUAUAAUCCUUGAAAACUUAGAUAAGCACCCAUCUAAAUGCAUAUAAGGUUAAGACAAUACCGACAUCAAAAUGCAGGUUGAAUACAUUAUCCGACUAAAAUCCAUUUCGCUUUCUUCAUGCAUGUGCUCUACAGUUAUCUUCAAUGAAUAAAACAGUAGUUACCUUCAGCCAGCUUGUAAUAUGUUGUCGCACCUGCGAAGCUAAUUUGCAUUCAAAAAAUAAGUGAGAAACAUUUUCCUGCGAAGCUAAUGAAGUGUACGGAAAAAUAAAUAAAAAAUUUACAUUUUAUUAUAACAAAGCAAACAAUUUACUCUAUUGCUUUUUUCUUUAAAAAAAAAUAAAAAAUUUACUUUAUUGUUUCGUGGUGUUUUUUUUAUUCAUUUACUUACUGAUAAAAAACUCAUAUAGACAAAAGAACUGAGUUAAGUGAGAAAAAAAAUGAGAUUAUAGCUAGUAUUGAUAUUUUUACUAAUGUAUUUCGAAAAAUAUUUCAUUCUGUUGGUGUAUAAAAAUUUACAUUAGAAGCAGGGAGGGAACCAUAUUUAACGGUAUAAGAUAGGAAAGAAAAAACAAAUUACUUUACCCAAAAAAAAAAAAAAACAAAUUUUUAUUUGCAAAUAUAAUGCACACAUGAAAUUUAAGAAAUUAUAUGUUACUUCCCUCAUUUCCUUUUUUUAAGUGUUUUUUUAGAAAAUUAACACAAAAAUCACGAAGUGUAUUUUUUGCACAUUUUCUUCCUAGUAUACCCUCAUUUUAAUCCACUAAUAAAUUUCAAUUGUUUUGCAAACACUUUAUCUUUCCAAUAAAUUUAAUAUGUUAUAUUUCUCUCAUUGUGAGUUACUAUUAUCUUUUUCUCCAACAAAUUCCUAUUUUUUUACAUGCACUCUCUCAUAACAAACAAUUGUCAAUUUUCUAAAUAUUGUGUACAUCUUUUCAAUUAUUUUAAGUCAAUAUAAAAAUUAAAUUGAUGAAACUUCUUCUUCUUCAUUGUCAUCUUGUUCUUGUUCUUGUAUCUUGUCGAAUGAGUUUUCAACUAUUGCUCCCUCUUCACAUCUCAUCAUCAAUUUCAACGAGUCUUCCACUUUUUCAUCCUUUUGAGCAUACUACAUGGAGUCUUUUAUUUUUCUUCUCUCAAAUCUUUUAUUUUACUUUGCCCUUGAAAUUUUUAACAAUUGAUACUCAUCUUAGUUAUCGAAUUUUAACUCUUCUUGGAACCAUUGUUUGUAACAAAAUUUUGUUUAAAUUUGAAGAUAACAAGAAACAAACUUUGUUUAAAAAAAAACUGUGUUCCAAAUAGAUAGCAUUAAUUAGUUUUAUUGAAAAAGCUAAAAGUAAUUGGCAAAGGGUAUAAUUGACAAAUCGUAAUUUAAAAUACCAAAAAGACAGUAAAAUAGGAACGGAAAAUUCACCAUAAAAAGACACUUAAAAAUGAACGGAGGAAGUAUAUCCAAAGUUAAUAUGUAUCGAAAAUUGUGUUCAUGUGUAAUUUAUUUGUUGUUUUUUGUUGCCGUUGUUUCUUUAGUGGCACUUUGACUCUGUAAAUACUUGUCGGUGGUUCUCCUUUUGCAUACCUUAUACAGGUUGAACCACUCUGAUUUUAUUAAUAUCUCAUUUUGAUUUGUUAAAAAAAAAUGUAUCUAAAAUUAUAAGAAAUUUCAAAGAUGUUAGAAAAAUGAGUUCCUUGAGGCUUCUUUGAGUGUGACCAAAGAAGAUUUUUUUAAUAGUAGAGAUAGGAAAUAAGAAACAACAAGAAUGUAAAUGUAGGAGAAGAAAUUCAAGAUAAUAUCACAAACAUUAGUAGUGACUGAAAGGGCGCAAACAACACCGCGUGCAAUAUUUCUUACAGUUUGAGUGAAAUUGCAACAAAUAAUCACAAAUUAAUAUUCUAGUUAAGGUUCUUCUAAUUGCAUAAAAAAAAACUCACUUUAUUUCUCAAUUUCUCAAUGUUAUGCAUUCUAGUUAAGGAUUUGUGUUAUUAAAAUUUGAAAGUUAUACAAUGCUAAAUAUACUGAGUAAAAAAAAGUUCAUUAUACAAAAUCAUAUUAAGUUCACAGAAAAUAGUAUAGUGACAAAAAAAUAAAAAUAAUAAUAACAUACUAAUAUGAAGGGAACCAUGGCCUAUGUUAGUCUCCGUUCUAGUUUCAUCCCUGAUUGCAAAGUAUAUCAUAAUGCAAUCUUGUGUAGCUACGAUAAGAAUUAAAUAUUUUCAAUUAUCUACUAAUAGUAAUGAUUAAUUGACAAUGCAAGUACUCUUUACACCUGCAUUGCAUAUGAAUUAGAAGUCACUUUGUUGGCAUAUCACUCCUCAAUCUUGUGAUCCUCCGUUCAAAACUAGCGGUAUGGUAACAAAACCCAUAUAUGUGGGUAUCCGUUUGAACCAAACUUAAAUUGACGGGUUUUUUUUAUUUUAAUUGGGUUUGGGUUUGUCUCGAUUUCAAAAGAUAGAUACGGGACGGGUAACAGGAAUAUAGGUACUCAUCUCAAACCCAUCCUGAAUGUAGAAAAUUAAUUUAUUACCCAUUUUAUAUAAAUAAAAACUCAAACCCUAAAUCAUUUCACUCAUACAAUCAGAGUCUCGGUCUUUCAGAUGACACAAUUAUCAUAGUUCUUUCUUUUCUCCUUCAAUAUUCCACACUCUCAGCCUCUCUCUUCUUCAUCACCAUAGUCAUCGAUCGUCGUCAUCUUUUUACUGAAUAAUGCAUUAGUCAUUACAACUUUGCGCUCGGGGAUAAAAAAUACUUUUAUUUUUAAUAAAAAAAAAUUAUCCACUUCGGGGAUGGGAAUGAGGCGGGGAUGCCCAAACCCGUCGGGGACAUGGAUGAGAUUCGAUUUCUCAUCUCCGCUGAAUAUGGGUAUGGUAACGGGUAAGUAUUUGAAAAUAUGGUAUGAGGACGGGGAAGGUAAAACUCAUCCUCACCCUACCCCAUUGUGAUGCCUAUUCAUGAAGCACAUAUAUUUAGGUAAAUAUUAGAAUAGAAUAACAUUGGAAUGAAAUAAUGACAAAAUUAUCUCUUCACAUGUUUCAUAUUGAGACUCUUUUAUUUACAAUGAGUUCCUUAUUUCGUCGUUAUAGUUUAAGUGAUUUCACAUCACAUACUAUACCCUAACAACAAAGACAUAUUAUGCCACUUGGUUUCGGUACACAUUUCAUUGUCACGCAUCGUCGUCUUAUGGUUGUUGUGCCUUCAAUUUAGUUAAAACUAUGGGCUAUUGCUACAGACUGACAUUUUCCUCAAAAUCAAAACCACCGUUUAUUUGGCAGGUUAUGCAACUUCAUGUUGACUUCCUUCUAUUGAAAACCUCUCUUUCCAACGUAAUUUUUACGUAGCAAUACAUCCCCUUUGCUUAAUUAGUGACAAUAUUUGAAGUUACCCUACCUUGAUCAUCAUCAUCCCUUGCUUAAUUGGUGACGAUAUUGGAAGUAACCUUCAUCAUCUUCUUUGUGGUUUUUCUAGGAAUUCUUUAGGUGUCUUCGAGUUUGGAAGCAUACAAUCAUUUUUGUAAUAAUUAAAAAUUAAAAUUGUUACAAACUUCUAAAACACGGAAGGGUGAUUGAGUUGUCCUCGUGGAGUCAUGUGUCCAAUUGGUUAUAUAUACAAUCAUAUUAUAAUAGUCGUAUAUACGUAAACAUUUUUUAAAAAAAUAUGUACCACACUUUAAAAAUUCACAUAUGCAUUAAUUAAUUUACUUUUAACCUUAUCUUCUAAUAUAUUAUUAUAAAUUAAUUAAUAGUUAUUUUAAGAAAAACCAAUAAACAAUAUAACGCAAACUUGAAACAAAGAGUGAAUCAAGGAGAAUCUACAAAAUAAGUAGAGUAAUGUAUAAUUAAUACAGAAAAAAAAUUAACAAAUAAAAUUUAUCUCACCUUACCAAUGGAGAUUUUAUCUAUUGGAAAUGGUUGAUAUACUUACAAUUAGUUUUCGACACACAUCGAAUAUGAUUAUCUCCAAUUUAUGUGGCGGAAAAACUUAUCACACACGUUAGAAAAAGAAAAAAGUGUUUAUUUUUCUAGUUCCAUGAGUUUCUACAAGGUUUUUUUUACUUCACUAGCUAGUGAUGACUCGCAUGUGAGAUUUGCGAGUGCAACUUAACAUAUGUGAUUUUGAGACCACGAGAGAAGCAUAUAAUUUUUUUUUUUAAAGUACUAUAAAAUAAUAAUAAAAUUUGAACAUAUAUAUGAAAUGUGGUUGUAUCUUUCAGCAUGGAUUAGAACUUUGUUUGUCAUGUUUAUGAGAGUUUAAUCUCUUGCGCUAAAUUCAACCUUAUUGGUGAAUCUAGAUUUUUUUUUUUAUGUAUAUAUGUAUAUAUAUAUAUAUAUGAUGUUUCUAACCUAAUUAAGAGUUAUAUGUUGUAAUAAUAUUAUAUAAUUGUCUUUUUACUCCUUUUCGAUCUUGAGUUAUUUUGGGACGGGAAAAUAUCUUUAUUUUGGUUUUCAUAUAACUAUUCCCCCUUUUUUGUGAAUCCAAAGCAUUGCUUGAAAACUUUUAUUAUCAGCAUUGCUCGAAAGUUGAAACUAUUCCCGCUGGAUUCAAAGUUUUCAACUUCACUAAUUUCUUUGAAAAGAAAAUACUAUAAAACUUCACUGACAUGUUACGUUACAUUUGGAAGCCAGUCAUGUACCGUAAUAAUUGAAGAAAAAAUAUUAUCAGCCGACACUAAAUGCAUAAAAGGUUAAGACAUUACCGAUCCAUGUUUUGUCGUUGAACAAUUAGUCAAAUGUUAAUUGGUUUCAUUCAGAAUUAAGUGUAAAAAAUUUGAUGAUGAUAAUGAAAGAGACUUGAGUGUAUUACCCGACUAAAAUCCAUUUCGCUUUCUUCAUGUGCUCUAGAUCUACAAUUACCUGCUACACAUUCCAAUGGAUAAAUUCUGGUAAUUAUAAAUGUGAUUACUUAAAAUAUAUAUGGUGGCUUCUUAAACUAAAUUAUAUAAAUUGUUAUCGUUAAAAAGCGACUUUUAGAGUUUAUAGCAACAAUCGUAUCUAUUUGUUCACGGGUUUUUGGAUUAAGUUAGAUUUAGGCUAUUGGUCAUUUCAGUCCACUUAUAAAAAUGGAAGGAUGGAUAUUAUUUUAUUAAUUUACACCAUUCGGAGAAUUUCCUUAUUUUGUAUCAAGUCAAAUAAAAAUUAUAGCCUCAACUCUGGCAAAUUAUUUGCAACAUGUUACCCAAUAGUCUACAUUAUAUAUCUAUUAAAAAUCUUAAUAUCUUGUACAAACAUUGUGUAUAAAUCUUUAUUCGAUCAGUUAUAACAAAUUACAUAGACAUAUAGUGUGUUCGAUCGAGAAAAAUAAAUAAAAGAUUGGACAUGAUAACUACAUUUAUACUAUGUGAUUGUAAAACUACAUCAGGAACUAGAUAAACUUAGAGGGUAAAGGACACGAUAAAAAUUGAAAUUAUUAUCAUUUACUAAAUCAGAAUACAACUUUUUGCCUCAAAUACAAGUGAAUAAAAUACCCAAAUAGACUUUUAUCCACCAAGGAUCGUCGUCUAAGAUAAAAAAAAUUGUUCAAUAUAAUUAAAGUUAGUAAUGUGUCUUAUGUCUUAUUCCGUGUUCUUAUGUCCAAUACUUACAUUUUUAGAUAAUCAAACGUAUUCAUCCUGUUGAAGUACAUGGAGUCGAUACAAGUUAAGAACACAGUGGCUUGGGUUAGGUGAUAGAUGUACAAUCGUAUAGCUUAUAGGUCAAUUCUAACAUGUUUCUGAAAGUCAUUUUGUAUGGAGGUGUGUUAUUUGAACAAUCAUUUGAAUGAUAACUUUUGUGACAACCACUAAUUUACAAAGGAAAGUAGAUAGUGACACGGAAACCAAAGUAAUAGAGAGAUAAAGUAAAAAAAUAAUGUGAGUAUGAAAAAUAAAAUUGUCACAAAAUGGUUGUCAAAAUAUCAUUUCUCUUUUGUAUAACAUGCACAAAUAUUUAAAAGAUAAAUGAUAUUUGUAUAACCAUUUUUUUGACAACUUUUAGACAAUUUUCUCUCUCAUAUUCACGUUAUAUUCUUAACCUUUCUUUUCCUUUUUCUCUCUCCUUUGUUUUUAACCAAUAAAAAGAGAGGAAAAAAAAGUUGUCAAGAAAGUUGUUAGCAAAUAGUUGUUCAAAUAUCAUUGCUCGAGUUAAAAUCGUGCUCACUAAACACAAAUGAUUUUUGACGAAGUUUUGUGUAGGCACAAGCAUUUCGGCGCACAUACAUAAAUCAAAAAAAUUAAAAGAUAAAUAAAACAGUCACAUCAAUCAAUAUCAUUUUAAUCAUUUAGUUUUUAAUUUUUUUUUAACUUCAUGGAUGCGUACCUAAAUGUGAGGUGUUGGUCAUAUGACCAAAUAAGAGAUUUUCAUGAUUUUUUUACCAUAAGAUCAAAAAGUUAUAUCAUAUCUCAUUUUAUUACAUUUUUUCUUUAAUGGUGGGGUUUAUUGGUUUCUAAAAAUAUAUCAAUUACCACCCUUUGUUUUCAAAUUCUUUAACCCCGUCACUAAAAACAUAAAAGUAUUUGGAGUAGGUUUAUUUUGUGAAAACAUUUUAAGUUUUCUAGAAUUUAUAUUUUUAAGCAAAAGUGAAUUGCAAAAAUUUAAGCGAGAUUUUUUAUCACAAGUUUACAAUUAUGGUGAAAUCGAAGAACUUAACUACUUAGGUUGUAAACUAAGAACAUUUUAUUAACAAAGAACCAAAAACAGGCAUGAUGGAGUGCAUAGACCAAAAUCUAAAGAAAAAACAUCAAACAGAAAUAAAGGGAAACUAUGUCGAUUAUUAUAACAACAAUCCUCUAAAAUAAAUCUAGGUGGAAGAGUCCACCAAAUAUAACGUUUAGAUUAAAAACCAAAUCCCGCUAUAAAUAUGAGAGAUUACAAUUAAUUGCAUUUGAGAACACAAUGACAAAGCAUUGCGUUGUCUUUUUUUUUUUUUUUUUUUGUCAUUUAGCUUAAUGGCUAUAGAAAUUCACCUUAAAGAUGAAUAAUUGAAGUGUCAUGCAUCGUCUGUUUUUUAAUCUCCACGUGAUAGACCGAGAAUUCUAAAAAGACUUCACCGAUAAUGACGGUGGAGAUUAAAAAACGUUCAUAAUUGCGGCCAACAAAACAAUUUGUGACUAAUAAUUCUAACCUUUUUAAAGAAAAACACGAAGUAGACAAGAAAAAGGAUGUAUCAAUAUGACAAUCAAUGGAAGUCCAAAGUCAACUCUAAAUGUUAACAUCAAAUUGAUUAACGUUGUAACUUGUAACACCUCGUUUUUUCAACUUAAAAAUUUCACAUAUAAAUUAAAGUAUUUCAACAUAAACAGAAUGUCACACUUCUUUUCAUAAAAUCAUAAACAGAAUAAAAUAACUAUUUAUCCUUCAAAUUCAACAGCAUAUCAUUUAUUACAUCGCAACGGAAUGUAUUCAACAUUUAAACAUCUUUUGCACCAAGGCCUCAACAUAAAAUCUCUUAAAGUUAUUCCAACAACAUGUUCAUGAAAGUUCAUAAAAUAAUACGUAAGGAAUAGAAAGCAACAACAAAAUUCUCAUCCCGUUACGUAUCAGGGCACCUAAGACACACGUGAGAGAUAGUCCACUCACGACAACAACUAACAGCAACUAUUCUCGAUCACCUGCAGGUUACCCAUAUGAAGGGUAACAAUUCCAAGCAGAAGGGGUGAGAUUUCAUAUUCAAAUAAUAAUAAGCAUAUAAUUCAUUAAAUGCAUUUAACAACUUAAACUUCAUCAAUUAAUAACAUUAACUCUUCUUAUAAUACUUCGUUAAUAACUCAAUCAAUUUCUAAUCAUCAUUAACUUCAUAUUCAUCACAUUAUAUACAACAUCAUAUAGCACAUAAUAAUCAGAUCAUAAACAUCAUCAUAUAACGACAUAAUCAUCACAUCAUAAACAUCAUCUUAUAACAAGAUAAACGAUACAUCAUAAACAUCAUCUUAUAACAGCAUAAACAACACAUCAUAAACAUCAUCUCAUAACGACAUAAACAACAACGAUUAAUAAAUAUUAAUACUUCACUUAGUUCUUUAUUAACAACUCAUUGACAAAUGACAACUUAACGACAACGACAAUGCGACUUCUACAUCUUAAACUCAACAUAUGCAACUUCAACUUCUUAAUCAUGCAUGUGGUACCAACCAGAGCAUCAAGCCCUCAACAUAAAGAGCAUAAAUACACUCACAGGGCAUCAAGCCCUCAACAUAAGAGCAAAAGCUCACAGAGCAUCAAGCCCUCAACUUCAAAUGAUUAUGCAUGGACUCAAAAACGUACAACUUAGACAAAUUCACAACUUAUAUGAUCCAAUAUCUUGGAAUAACAACUUACAACUUUACAACUUAGACCAACACUUGCAACUUAAUGACAAUAAUGGUUCAACAACAACAGAAACAGCAACAUAAACAUCUUGCAACAUAGCAACAUCAAUAAUAACAAUUUGAAUGAUAUAAACAAUAAUAAUUUCUAUAUCAUACAUUUUCAACACCUUAUAUAAAUAUCUUAAAUUAACCAACAAUCAUUAAUCAUUUGAUUCAGGCUCUCUUUAACUCUAUAACUUAAUAACAACUUCCAUUCUUAUCCAAAGAUCAACUCAAAACAUAGGUUAAAUACUCUUAAACAUCUUAAUUGAACUCAUAGUACUUCUAGUUUUGAGGUUUUGAAUUAUCCCAUAAGUUUUGGAUUAACUUAGAAAUGGUUAUGCUGAAUUUUCAUAAGAUUUCACUAAGACCUCUCUGGAGUAUUUUUUAUCAUAUCUCAAAAACCAAAAAUCAUUUUCAAAUCAAACCAAAGCCAUUGAAAAGCUAAUAAAAUUAUCUAAAACUUUCAUGUUUACAACUAGACACAGUUCAAAGCGGAAAGGGGUGAAAAAUAGUAAAAUAAGAAGGAUCUGAUUCACAAAAAUCGUGCCACGUUUUUAUGCCCAGAACCAUUGAACUUUCGGCCAACAAAAUUGUGCCACGCUUGCAAAAUCGUGACACGUUUUGACAGCAUCAGGUCCAGAAAUCUGCUUUUCAAAAAGUGCAAUUUUCACCAUUUCGCGCGUAAAAUUCAAACCGUUAAUCGGAUUUUGAUGCCGUUUUCGCCUACACGCUCCUGAAACUUGGCUCUAUCAUAAUCUACAGCUAUUUCAAGUCUCAACCAUCCCAAGAAUCAUUUUCCAAAACCUCACAUAAUCCCUUAUUUGCAAAAACGUUUAGACACCGACUUUUCAAGCGAAAAUCUCAAUUUUCAUCAACUCAACCCCAAAACUGGUUCUAAUCAUUGUACUGUGAAUAAUCUAAGGUCUGAACAUCGUUUCUUCAUUAAUUCAACAGGUUUCUAUCAUCUAAUCAACCAAUUACAACUUUUAACCCUAAUUUCCCAAAUUCCCAAAACUACAACCUACAACAUGUUAAAUCCAAUUUUCAGAAUUAUACAACUUAUAAUUAAAGAAUGUUAUCAUUCUAGGUUCUUCUCUUCUAUUGUUUUCUCCCUUUUUCUCCAAAAACUUGUUUUACGCGAUCCUUAUUUUCUAAUUCUAACUCUCCCCUUUUAUAUAAAUCCUUAACCUACUUAUUUUCUCUUAUUUCCAAAUCUACCCCCAAAGUCUCAAUAUUCUAUUCUAAUAUAUAUGUAUAAUAAAAUACUUCUAUAACAAAUAACAAAUAUAUCUCUAUAACAAAUAUAUUUAUGUACCAGAUAACAUAUAUAUUUCUUCACCAAAUUAGAUAUAUAUUUCUACACCAAAUAACAUAUAUAUUAUACUAAUAAAUACCAACAUAUAACAUAACAAAAUAUCACUCAUCAAAAUAAAUCGACUAAAUUAUAAAAAGACAUCUAAAUUCAAUAAAAUAAAUAAAUAUUAAAAUAGGGCGUUACAAACGUGCUUUCUAUCAUCGAUGAACCAGAGCAAAAUUACCAUUAGAUUCAAUCAAUGGUCAUGAUUUAUACAAAAUAAAAAUAAGAACAUUUAAGAAUUGCCUCGCACAAUCUUGCCCCUAUUAAACUUUUUUAUUUUUGGUAUUCAUCAUCUUCAACCUCCAUUCCAAUUUUUUCGUAAUAAAAAAAAAAAAAAAAACUCCAUUUCAAUUUAGGAGCAAUGCUACAAAAGAGAAUUUGCACAAAAAAUUGAGUGUGUCUUCAAAAGUUUACGGGGUUUGCUAAAAAUCUAGUUUAUGGGUUCAAUUGGAGGUGGUGACUAAUGAAAUUGGAGGUUUAACUCAUCCUUAAAAACCAGUUCAUAAGGUGAGUCACGCCCAGCACUCUUUGGGCUUACGUGAAUCGGUAGGUAUUUGGGCUUACGUGAAUCGAUAGGUAACUCUUGAAUUCGACAGGUUCUGAUACCAUAAUGAAAUUGGAGGCCUAACUCAUCCUUAAAAACUAAUUCAUAAGGUGAGAAUUGUCUCCUCUAUAUUAACUCUUAUCAAGAGUCUUAUCUUUUCGAUGUGGAACAUGAGUUUUUUUCAAUAAUGACCUUUAAAGUUUAAACACGCGGCAUCUUUGAAUUCUACAUAGAAAAAAAAAAUAGAAUUAUAGCGUGUUAUGUUUGUUUCUCUAGAGCAUGAGACAUUUCAUUGUUCAGUUUAUGUUGUCAUGGAAAGGCAUAUGAGUGAUGGGUGUACAUCAUCGAUCGGUGGUUUGAUUCUCGUGAAUAGAACAAAAAAAAUCUGAGCUCAAUGGUACAAAUCCUUACGAUGAAAGGUGAGAUAUAGUAGGAUUGUGUGUGGAUAGUUGUAAAUGUUAUCUUUUUUAAUUCUAGUAGAUCAAAAUUGUUAAUCUCAUUUCAUGGUAAAAAUUAAAUAGUCCAUUUGUGAGGGACUCAAUAGCUCCUUCACCUUAGACGUCACCCUUAAUUAAUAAGAAACUAACGGCGAGGGACUCAACUCCCUCACCUUAGACGUCACCAUUGAUUAAUAAGAAACUAACGAUUGAAGUAAAUAAACGAGAAAGAAACUCAAACUUCUUUCUAAACUUUCUUUCUCUUUCGUUCAUCAAGGAGGGGUGGUUUUUGACCUAGAAUCACCCCUCUACAUCUUUUUUCCCAUUUUCUUUCAAUCUAAAUAAGUGGUUUUCACAUACAAGUGUUUCCUUUUGUGUUUUUUGUGAUUUUGUCGUCUAAGUACAACGCUGUGUUGGUCGUCGUCUUGUGCGGCGUUUGAUUUCACGUCUUGUCGCGGCGUUCGUUUAGUUUCUAUUGAAAGAUUGACAUCGGUCAAUUAUAAAUCCAAUCAAUGAUUUGGGUGUGAAUGUUGCCGAUCUAGAAACAUGAGUAUUUCGGUGACUUAGAUUUAAUCAUAUUAGUUGUAGCAUUUUGUCAUUUUAUGUUAUUAACUUGGGUGCUGUGAGUUUGUUCGCAGUUUUACCCUUUACGUUUCUAGCGAUUUUUGUAUCUGAUGUACUCUAUCAAUCUGAAUGAAUGAAUAUCGUUUUGUUUUUAUUAAAAAAAAAAAAUAAAAAAAAAACUAACGGUUAAAAGUUUGCUCUACAUGCCUACAAUGAUAAUAAAUAGAGAUAAUUUACUACAACUUUUAAAACAAUGAUGCUCAUUUAUAGGAACUUUACCAUAAAUAAGUCUCCAAAGAAAAAAUGAUUUGGAUUGAGGAAUUGAAGGUUUCCAAAUAAGCUAUGUCCAUGAUUGAUCAUAUGCAGAAACUUGACAAAAACUAUCAGCAUCCUAAACUGAAAGAGAACCUGAUGAAGAACCCUUCUAAGCAAGAUAUUCAGUGGAAAACUAUACCCCGAUAUUUAUCAAAUUUCAUAUUUCACCAAUUCAACUCUCUCUAUCAAUAGUAUAUAUAUAAAGUAAGAUUUUUUAUGACACGUGUCACUUCCACGUUUAUUCGCAAUAUUUUUAUUUUUUUUCUAAUUUUUCAAAACCAAUAUUUAAUUUGGCAUAAAUAUCUCAACAAACUUUUGAUCUUAUCUAUUAAAUAUUUUACUUAACUAUUUAUUGAAUUCCUAAUAUUUUAUGUAAUAGAAAUAUCUCAACAAAAUUACAUACGAUACCCUUCAAUUAAAAAUCAUCAAUCAAUCAAUAGUAUAUAUAGUAAGGUUUCUUAUGCCACGUGUCACUUUCAUGUUUAUUCGCAAUAUUUUUAUUAUUUUUAUAUUUUUUAAAAUCAAUAUUUAAUUUUGUAAAAAAAAAAUCAAUAUUUAAUUUGGCAUAAAUAUUUCAACAAAAUUUUAACCUUAGGGAUGGCAAUGGGUACCCUAUCCCAAUGGAUAGGGUACUAUAGUACCCUAUCCAUUGGGUACUCAUUGCCAUAAAUGUAUUGGUCUAUUCUCCACUAUCAUAAAUAUAAAGUGAAAUAUAUUGAAUUGGAAAUGAUGAAAGUAGUAUUAAUUAGAGUUAUAAUUGAAAAAAAAAGUAAUUAAUAAUUGUAUUGAAAAGUUAAAUGCAUCAAGAUUUUUGAGACAAUAUUUUUUACAAAUAACUUAGUUAUUAUGGGACGGAGGGAGUAACACUUUAACAUGACAAUGAAAAGUAAAUUUAAGAAUUAAAAUGCAAGAAAUGAAGAGAAUGUUUCUCUAACACAAAACUAUUUUUUUUUUCUCUUUCACUUAUACACUUUUUUAAUGUGUAAAAUAAAAAAUAAAAAAAACUUAUGUAUAAUGAGACGGAGGGAGUAGUUAGUAAGAACAAAGUCGUCAAGGAACCAAUUAACUCUUGAUUUCACUUCCCAAAAACGUCUUGAUAGUGCUAUACUCCCUCCGUCCCAAAUUAUAAGCAAAAAAACAAAAAUCACACUUAUUAAGAAAACUAAAACAUAAAAAUUUGGAGUAUAGUUUUUUGUGUUUUCGUUGGAAAAAGUUUUAUAGGAAGAUGUAAAAACAAUUUUCAUUGGCUAUUGAUUAUGGAAAAAAUGAAAGAAAGAGAAAAUUGAAUGUAAUUUGCAUUUAAUUUUAUGAGAAUAACAAAAAAAAAUCUUGGAAAAGAUUAAAAUUUGUCUUUUUUCCUUAUAUUUUGGGACAAAGAAAAUGAAUUUCUUUUGCUUAUAUUAUGGAACGGAGGGAGUACUUGGUUAAGCUGGAUUGAGCAUUCAAUUCUAAUUUAAGGGCCUUUAAUUUACCUUAAAGAAUAAACAUAGGACAACCAACCACAUAAUUAUUUAUACCAAACAUUUUCCACCACGUGGGUGAUAUCUGGAAGAUGAGAGUCCAUUUAAGUGAGUCAAUGUGACGAAAAAAAAGAUAAAAUGGCAAUUUUAGGAUCGUAAAUUUCUGAAAAUAAUGGAAGUAGUAAUUCUUUUAACGUUUUCAUUGUUUUAAAAAAAUUAUCCAAUCAUAUUUUAUAUGCAAUUUUUGUUUUUUAGAUUAAUUAAACAAUAAAUUUUGUUAACCAGUGUCCUAAGGGUGAUGAUUAAGGAAUUCAAAUGUAAAAGUUUUGUCUUGUAAUUGUAGGAUGUUACAUUUGAUCAAGUAAUGAUUAUACUACUUUUUAUUAAAAACUUACUUGAUUUAGUUGUUUAACCAGUGUGAACACUAGUUAACAUUCUCCUUAAAUAAUUGAUGUUUCUGAAAUAUAAUAUAUAUAUAUAUAUAUAUAUAGCUCAGAUACAUCACUUAUUUAAUGAAGAGUUUUUUUUUUUUCCUUCUCUUAAUUAACGAAUAAAACUAACACUUAUAUAUCUACCAAAAAAAAAAAAAAACUAACACUUAUAUAAUAUAGUUCGGAUACAAUAUAUUUAUAUAAUAUAAUCCGGAUACAUCACUUAUAUAAUCAACAUUGCUAUUUACCGCGACAAGUUUUGUCCCGAAUGCAUCAAGAAUGAAAAUAAGCCAAUUAAAAACAGCUGUUAGUGGAAAUCAUGGGAGGUGGGGGAGAAAAAGAUGGAAAUCAUAAACUAAUGGAUGGAUGGCAUACAUGCCACAUGUGUCUGGAAAAUCUCGGGACAGUUUUAUUUCGUGUGAAAUAGCAUUUUUCCUUAUAUAAUAUAGUCCAGGUACAAGGCAACUAUCACCGGAUGAGGUUUUAUCUUUUUAUUAAUGAAUAAAACUUUUUUUAAGAAGCUAAAUGCAAAAUAUAUUAAAAACCAAAUUAGUUAAGCACAAGAUGUGCCAAACGAAAAACUGUGUAUAACGUCAAAGUAACAAACUCGAUAAAGAAAGAAACCACAAAUAAUAAAAAUCAAAAGCGAAAUUCAGUUUAUGUGUCUUUAGCCACCACAAAAAAUGAAAUUUAAUAUUGUCGAGAAGUUGAUCCUUAGAAGACACGUUGUUAUUGAAAUUUCUCGAGUUUCUCUCCUUCCAAAUUCUCUCCUUCGAAAUAACUCAAAGACAUGUCAGCACACCACUUUAAAACAAGAGCUAAUGUCCUUCCUGAAAGCAUGCGCGCCAAAAAAUUGUUGUGCGUGACAACCAAUAUUUGAUGGAACGACGGUAGUUUUACCCUACCAGAUCAACAAACACCCUACCAGAUCAACAAACAGGGAAAAUAAAUAAAAAAUAUUUUUGCAAAGUAAUUAAACGGAUUCUAAUGUUUAAUAGGAACCGAUCGAGGACAACAUAGAAAUCAUGCUGGAAUUUGAAGAAGAAAUACAAACCUAAUUAAAGAGAGGGGCUAAGUAUUUCCAAGCUGGAACUUGAAAAAGAAAAACCAUGCUCUAAUUAAGUAACUAAGUAAGGUAGUACAUUACAACAAUUGAGAUAAGUACGACACAUUAUGAUGAUUAUGACUUAUGAGCUGUUAAAUGAUGUUGUAGGAUUACUUUUUUCUUGUCAAAAAUAAAUAAAUGAUGUUGUAGGAGAAACAUUAUUAUAAACAUUAUUAUAACUUACAAGGACUAAUGUUUAAAAAAAAAAACUUACAAGGACUAAUAAUGAGACAGAACGAAAGUGUACGUGAGUGUAGGAGACACGUUAUUAUAACAUUUUAUAAAUAUUUAAACGUUGAUAAUAAUUUUGUCGAUCUAUAAACCACUACCAAUUCCUAGUUAAAUAUAUAAUAAUUUUUAUUAUAUUUGUUAGUUGAUGGUAAAAGAUGAAUAUAAUUUGUUACUAUAUUUUUUUUUGACAAAAUAAUUUGUUGCUAUUUAAAAUUCAUAAAUAUAGUCUAUACAUAUAAUUUUAAUAAAAAUAAAAAUUCACCCAAAAAAAAAUCAAAAAUUUCAUAAAAAAAUAAAUAUUGUUUAUAAUUCACGAGCGUUGUCGCAGUACAAAAAUGGAUAGAUGGAUACCCAGUACUAGUAAUUAAUGAAGUUAAUUGGUAAAAUUUCACUCUUACUGGUGGUUGAUGGUAGGGGUGUUUACGGUGCGGUUUGGUUCGGUUUUGAGAGAAAAAGUCAUCCAAACCGCAAGAUAAAAAAACAUGCGGUUUGUGUAACACCCACAGCUGACGAGGGCAGGGGAGUGGUCACCGGUGCACAAGGCACGCCAAUGAGCGGCUCCCGACAGCUUCUAGAGGAACCGAAUCACAUCUGAAUGAGAGGGAUCCUGAGGCCGUGUAGGUGUGGGACUACAUGAAUGAAGGAAUGCUUAUAAGAAUUGUUUGGUAAUACCUAUAUCAACAAGGUGCAUCUUCUUUUUGGUACCCUAUUCCAUAAGAACUCCACAGUUAAGCGUGCUUGACUUGGAGUAGUCUUUGGAUGGGUGACCUACCGGGAUUCCCGAUAAGCAUGCGAGUGAGGACAAAACACGCUGAAAAGACUCGUGUUGGUUUGUAGGGUCAGUCGACAAUGCUUAAAGUCGUCUGGGAUGUUACAGUUUGGUUUGGUUCGGUUGGCUUUAAAAUAAAAUCCGAACCAAACCAAACCAAUAUGGUUUGGGUUGUAUCGGUUGGUGCGGUUUUUUUCGUGACGAUACGAUUUUUUGUUUCCAACAUUAAAAUCAAGAUAAAAAGCUGAAACACAAUAUAUUUUCAACAAUGUUUUAAAUUUCAUCAAACAUUACAAUUUCAUUUUCAUUACAAUGUUUCCAACAACAUAAACCAAAUUAAAAACGCGGACAAAAAGUAAUCUUAUUUUGUAAGAAAUGCAAAAGACUGAGAUGUUCUCAUUCUCUAAAAGUUAAGUAGCACAUAAAUACAUUUUUAAAUAAAAAGCAAAUAAUGAACUUAACAAGAGAAAAAAAAUAUGACAUUUUAUAAAAGUUUUCAUUGAGUUUCUAUGAGUAUUGGUCUUGAUGACAUAUGUUUAAUUAACAUUUUUCUUAUGUUAUGGUUUGGUUUGGUUUUGUAUCUAUUUGACAGUCUCUUUGUACUUUGAGCGACCUCUUUAGUACGCCUUAUGCUAAAGAGGUGUCUCUCUUAUUGUGAAUAUAUAUCAUUUUACCUUCUUAAAAAAAAGUUAAUUGGUAAAAAAAAAAAAAAUUUCUCUCUUGAUUUAUAUGAAAUGACAUUUUUUUUUGGAACAUGGAGGGUAUUGAUUUUUACACCUUUUCAAAAGCCACUCAAGGAUGAAUAUAGAUUUUUCAUGCAUCAAACACAAGAAUCAUUAGCAUAACAUGCUUUGGAAAACACACACAUAUACUUAAAUUAAUGGUUGGAGUAUCAAAUUUAAAAAUAUUGUUGUCAAUACAUACCCCGUCAAUCCUCCUUUUUUACCCAAUAAACAUUGAAAUGUUGCUUCUUUCGUUAAGCAUAAAAACAUCAAAGUCUAGCAAAAUGUUGUUUUUGCGAUGACACAUUUCAUAUAGUUUAAAGGAUGCAUGAUUCGAUUACAAAAACAAAAUACUAAUAAUUCUAGCACAAAGUUUAAAGCUAAGAUUAUAAAGCUUCAUAGCAUGUGGAUAUUCAUUUAGAAAUAUAGGAUUAGGAUUGCCCCUUUCAUCACGGGUCUAAUAGCACCACUUGUCACUACAUGUUAAAAAUGUCCUCUAGUACAACACCGCUUUUUACUUGAUUCCCCUUGUCCAUGAAAAAAUCAAACAAUAUUUGGACACAAAAAUUUGCCCCCACUUUCCUUUUUCUUCUGCCCUAGUUUGUUUGAAAACUCAUAUUGAUCAAAUUUGGCUAUGAAUUCAAACAAAAAAUUCACUCUGCCCAUUGCAUGUGUGGGACCCACAUAUAAAUCCAUGAAGGAUUUCAAUGUCCAUCCAAGUCAAUGAUUCAACAUAUAACAUUGAAUAAUUUAAUUCCAAUUUGCAGUAUUAUGAUUUAGAUUGAUUGCUGCAAUACGGUCCGUGAAUGUAACUCACGAGAAAGAGGUAUCAAGGUAUUUUAUUUUAUUUUUAACAAAUAAAAUUUCAAGGUCUUGUUCACCAUAUAAACCUCCUCACUCUCACUCAAUUCUCUUAAGUGUAUGACUUCAUAGUAAACUACACUACUUUCUUUAAAACAUGGCUAACUAUGCUAUAGCCAAUGUUUUGAUCCUUCUCUUGAACUUGAGUACCUUACUCAAUGUUCUUGCUUGCCCUUAUUGUCCUUACCCAAGCCCUAAACCACCUUCACACCACCCUCCUAUUGUUAAGCCACCAGUUCACAAACCACCAAAGCAUUCUCCUACUCCUAAACCACCAGUUCAUAAACCACCAAGAUAUCCUCCUAAACCAUCACCUUGUCCACCCCCAUCAUCAACACCAAAACCACCUCAUCAUCCCAAACCCCCAGCAGUACACCCACCACAUGUUCCAAAACCACAUCCACCUUAUGUUCCAAAACCACCAAUUGUUAAACCUCCAAUAGUACAUCCACCUUACGUACCAAAACCCCCAGUUGUGAAACCACCACCAUAUGUCCCUAAACCACCUGUUGUGAGACCACCCUAUGUUCCUAAACCACCAGUUGUACCUGUAACACCACCUUAUGUUCCUAAGCCACCAAUUGUUUUCCCACCACAUGUUCCUCUACCUCCAGUUGUACCAUCACCACCACCUUAUGUACCAACACCUCCAAUUGUGAAACCACCAAUUGUUUUUCCACCACAUGUUCCUCUACCUCCAGUUGUGCCUGUAACACCACCUUAUGUGCAACCACCACCUAUUGUAACUCCACCAACACCAACACCUCCAAUUGUGACACCACCAACACCACCUAGUGAAACACCUUGUCCUCCACCACCACUUGUACCUUAUCCACCACCACCAGCACAACAAACAUGUUCCAUUGAUGCUUUGAAGUUGGGUGCAUGUGUUGAUGUGCUUGGUGGACUCAUACAUAUUGGUAUAGGUGGAAGUG
rnacentral:lncRNA from 1 species